AUGGAUGCCGAUAUUAAACCUCUGUCCUGCUCCGUGUUUCUGCCUCCUCCGGCCUCCUCCGGCCCGGCCCUCUGCUCCUCGGCUCCCCGGGGCUCGGAGCCCUCAGUCCGGGUCUCCUGCCGCCUCCUGAGGACCUCCACAUGCUGGUUUUAUUUAUUUAUCGCGGCUCUUUUCUCCUCUGAGAGCCCGAGACGAGACGAAACCCGACGCAGAAUGGCGUCUGUCCGGGGCCCGGGACUCUGAAUGACGGCUCCGGGUUAUGCAGCAGAGUCUCCGGAACCAAUCAGCGGGCCCGGAUCCCGGAGGGGGCGGGUCUUAGCGGGCUGGGUGAUGCCGUGAUUCAUGUUCCCGGCAGGUCGCUUCCUGCAGAGGUGCAUGGUGGUCGAACAGGAGGAAUUGUGUGAAAUCUUCAGAGCAGCUGAAGCAUGCUCUUGGCUCAGAUCAACCGGGACUCUCAGGGAAUGGCGGAGUUUCACGACGCCGACGGCCAGCCGGUGACGCUCUGCCUGACGGAGGCCGUCACCGUGGCAGACGGGGAGCAGAUGGAGAGCAUGGACACGGUGAGCCUGCAGGCGGUGACGCUGGCGGACGGCUCCACCGCGUACAUCCAGCACGACGCCAAGUCGGCCUUCUCCGACGGGCAGAUCAUGGACGGGCAGGUGAUCCAGCUGGAGGACGGCUCGGCGGCCUACGUCCAGCACGUCUCCAUGCCCAAAGGAGGAGGAGACAGUUUACAGCUUGAGGACGGCCAGGCCGUCCAGCUGGAGGACGGAACGACGGCCUUCAUCCACACUCCCAAAGACUCCUAUGAGCAGGGCGGGCUGCAGGAGGUGCAGCUGGAGGACGGCAGCACGGCGUACAUCCAGCACACGGUGCACCAGGCCAACACCAUCCUCGCCAUCCAGGCCGACGGCACCAUCGCCGACCUGCAGGCCGACGCCGCCGCCGCCAUCGACCCCGACACCAUCAGCGUGCUGGAGCAGUACACCACCAAGGUGGAGAACAUAGAGAACCCUCUGGGUUCCUUCGGCAGAGUGGAGGCAGAUAACGGAGUCCACAUGAGGAUCGUGUUACAGGGUCAGGACAACCGUCCGGGUCGAGGAACAAACGUAGGAGAGAAAUCUUUCCGCUGCGAAUACGAAGGCUGCGGAAAACUCUACACCACGGCCCACCACCUCAAGGUGCACGAGCGCUCCCACACCGGAGACAAACCCUACGUCUGUGACUACCCCGGCUGUGGCAAGAAGUUUGCAACAGGCUACGGACUGAAGAGUCACUCACGCACACACACAGGUGAGAAACCGUACAGGUGUCAGGAGCUGAACUGCUGCAAGUCCUUCAAAACCUCCGGAGACCUCCAGAAGCACACCAGGACUCACACAGGAGAGAAGCCCUUCAAGUGUCCGGUGGAGGGCUGCGGCCGCUCCUUCACCACCUCCAACAUCCGUAAGGUUCACAUCCGGACCCACACCGGGGAGCGGCCCUACUACUGCUCCGAGCCCAGCUGUGGCCGCUCCUUCGCCAGCGCCACCAACUACAAGAACCACAUGAGGAUACACACCGGAGAGAAACCGUACGUGUGCACCGUGCCUGGCUGUGAGAAACGCUUCACAGAAUACUCCAGCCUUUACAAACACCACGUGGUUCACACGCCCUGCAAACCCUACAACUGCAACCACUGUGGGAAGACCUACAAGCAGAUCUCCACCCUGGCCAUGCACAAACGCACCGCACACAACGACACGGAGCCCAUCGAGGAGGAGCAGGAGGCCUACUUUGAGCCCCCAGUAGACGCCAUCGACGACCCGAGCGUCAGCUACUCGGCGGCCGUGGUCGAGGCGGACGACUCGGGCUCGGAGCAGCUUCCUGUCGACGGCUCCGAUAUGAUUGGUCAGCAGCAGCACGUUGCCUUGGUAACGCAGGAGGACGGGACACAGCAGCAGGUCAGCAUCUCUGAAGCAGACCUUCAGGCGAUGGGAGGAACCAUCACCAUGGUGACCCAGGAAGGCACCACCAUCACCAUCCCCGCCCACGAACUGGCCUCGCAGGGGGCGCACUCCGUCACCAUGGUGACCACCGACGGCUCAGAGGAACAGGUGGCCAUCAUGACUCCUGAUAUGACCUCCUUCCAGACGGUGGAGGAGGCGAGCUACAGCCAGGAGCAGGACGACCUCCACCCCGUCACGCUGCUCGCCACCUCCAACGGCACGCACAUCGCUGUCCAGCUCAGCGACCAGCCGUCUCUGGAGGAAGCCAUCAGGAUAGCGUCCCGGAUCCAGCAGGGAGAGUCUCCAGGUCUGGACGAUUGAUCCAGGUCUGGGUGAUUGAUCCAGGUCUGGACGAUUGAUCCAGGUCUGGACGAUUGAUCCAGGUCUGGACGGUUGAUCCAGGUCUGGACGAUUGAUCCAGUUUCUGGACGGUUGAUCCAGCAGGGAGAGUCUCCAGGUCUGGACGAUUGAUCCAGGUCUGGACGAUUGAUCCAGGUCUGGACGGUUGAUCCAGGUCUGGACGACUGAUCCAGGUCUGGACGACUGAUCCAGGUCUGGACGACUGAUCCAGGUCUGGACGGUUGAUCCAGGUCUGGACGACUGAUCCAGGUCUGGAUGAUUGAUCCAGGUCUGGAUGAUUGAUCCAGGUCUGGGUGAUUGAUCCAGGUCUGGACGACUGAUCCAGAUCCAGAUGAUUGAUCCAGCAGGGAGAGUCUCCAGGUCUGGGUGAUUGAUCCAGGUCUGGAUUAUUGAUCCAGGUCUAGAUGAUUGAUCCAGGUCUAGAUGAUUGAUCCAGCAGGGAGAGUCGCCAGGUCUGGGUGAUUGAUCCAGGUCUAGAUGAUUGAUCCAGGUCUAGAUGAUUGAUCCAGCAGGGAGAGUCGCCAGGUCUGGGUGAUUGAUCCAGGUCUGGAUUAUUGAUCCAGGUCUGGACGACUGAUCCAGAUCCAGAUGAUUGAUCCAGCAGGGAGAGUCUCCAGGUCUGGACGAUUGACGGACUCAUCACGGACUGAUUGAUCGAUUGAUUGAUUCAGGAUCAGAUCUCAAGUGGACUUUAUCAGCCAGAGAAAUCAUGAGUCUUCCUCUGUGUUUCUUUUUCUUUUUUUCACAAAAGAACUUAGCUUUUAUGUGUACAUAGAUUUUGAUAACUGGAGUUCUGCUUUGCUAUUUUGUCCGUCAGCCAGAAACAGACGGAGGAGAAAGUCUUUGUAAUGUUUCUGGAGCUCGUGUACAGCUAAUGCUAUUUCUAAUUAAAAUAAGAAAAACGUG